AUGUUGGAAAACAAGACUGACCCCAGAGAAGGCGUCACUACAGAGCAACUCAGGAGAAAGGAAGAGGCUGAUGAAGGAACCAGCUCUCGCAUAUCAAGUCCCUGCGACCUCUUGGGUGUCUACUGCCAGAAAGAGAAGCUAAGGCAGAAAGGACAACUCUGGGUGAAGGAAGGCAACCCCAGACUUCAGAGGAAUUCAGUAUUGUUCUCUCUUCUGAAGAUGAAGAGACACAAUCUUGAAACAGCAAUAGCAUUCAUCAUGCUUCCUGCGGAAGAUGCAUCUGAAAAAGCCAUGAGACAAUCUCCUCUUUGUUCUGGAUUUGCACGCCUGUAAACACAGCCCGAGAUGGCAUUGAAUCACAG
rnacentral:lncRNA from 1 species